ACGCACGCUGGCGGCGUGCUUAACACAUGCCAGUCGAACGGUGAAGCGCCUUCCUUUUUGGUGGGUGUGGAUGAGUGGCGAACGGGUGAGUAACACGUGAGUAACCUGCCCCCUUCUUCUGGAUAACCGCAUGAAAGUGUGGCUAAUACGGGAUAUUCUGGGUCUGUCGCAUGAUGGGUCUGGGAAAGAUAUUGUUUCGGUGGGGGAUGGGCUCGCGGCCUAUCAGCUUGUUGGUGGGGUGAUGGCCUACCAAGGCGGUGACGGGUAGCCGGCCUGAGAGGGUGGACGGUCACACUGGGACUGAGACACGGCCCAGACUCCUACGGGAGGCAGCAGUGGGGAAUAUUGCACAAUGGGCGCAAGCCUGAUGCAGCGACGCCGCGUGAGGGAUGGAGGCCUUCGGGUUGUGAACCUCUUUCGCCAGUGAAGCAGGCCUGCCUCGUUUGUGGGUGGGUUGACGGUAGCUGGAUAAGAAGCGCCGACUAACUACGUG
rnacentral:rRNA from 1 species